AUUGAACGCUGGCGUCAUGCCUUACACAUGCAAGUCGAACGGUAACGCGGGGCAACCUGGCGACGAGUGGCGAACGGGUGAGUAAUGCAUCGGAACGUGCCCAGUAGUGGGGGAUAGCCCGGCGAAAGCCGGAUUAAUACCGCAUACGACCUACGGGUGAAAGGGGGGGAUCGCAAGACCUCUCGCUAUUGGAGCGGCCGAUGUCAGAUUAGGUAGUUGGUGGGGUAAAGGCCCACCAAGCCGUCGAUCUGUAGCUGGUCUGAGAGGACGACCAGCCACACCGGGACUGAGACGCGGCCCAGACUCCUACGGGAGGCAGCAGUGUGGAAUUUUGGACAAUGGGCGCAAGCCUGAUCCAGCCAUGCCGCGUGCGGGAAGAAGGCCUUCGGGUUGUAAACCGCUUUUGUCAGGGAAGAAACGCUCUGGGCUAAUACCUCGGGGUAAUGACGGUACCUGAAGAAUAAGCACCGGCUAACUACGUGCCAGCCGCCGCAGUAA
rnacentral:rRNA from 1 species